GACUAUAGGUUGAGGAGGAAUUGGAAGUUUGUCGGCUUAGACCUGGUGUCAUUCCAUCAGUGUUAAAUUUCCCGGCUCAUCUUGGAAGAGUACGUGCCAGAAAGACCACAACCAAGCAGCCUUGAGAUCUUAGGCAGUGUCUCCCUGAGAUCCACCAACCACUGGAACACAUCUCCAAAGUUCUGCCUGGCCAGCUCAGCUUCCCCUCAGAAGAAGUGCCACCACCUGCCAGAUGAAGGAGCCUUUUGAGAGGCAGCUGGCAUCGUGAUUGGACUGUACUUUGGUCUGUUCCAAUCCAGCUUCAGCUCCAGAGACGGCAGGCGGGACGAGUCAACGGAGGCCGGGUGGACGAAGGCAUGCAGCUGAGUACAAUCUAGAAAACAACAGAGGAGGAGUGCAGCAGCCCAGAGCCAGAACAAACAGAGUAGCAUCGUAUGUCUCUUAGAAAACAUCAUAGUAUAGCCUUUGGUAUGAAAAAACGCCAUCAUAUACAUCGUAUAUUGUACAAAUAACAAGUCAAAGCAAAGAGACAUACAUUGUAGAAUUGUAGUAAUUGUGGGCUGACUGAUUUACUGAUUAUCAGUAUUUUAUUUUUUACUGAUUUACGGUAAUAAAUACAUUUAAAAAUGGC